rnacentral:rRNA from 1 species
GAUGAACGCUGGCGGCGUGCCUAAUACAUGCAAGUCGAGCGAACGGACGAGAAGCUUGCUUUUCUGAUGUUAGCGGCGGACGGGUGAGUAACACGUGGAUAACCUACCUAUAAGACUGGGAUAACUUCGGGAAACCGGAGCUAAUACCGGAUAAUAUUUUGAACCGCAUGGUUCAAAAGUAAAGACGGUCUUGCUGUCACUUAUAGAUGGAUCCGCGCUGCAUUAGCUAGUUGGUAAGGUAACGGCUUACCAAGGCAACGAUGCAUAGCCGACCUGAGAGGGUGAUCGGCCACACUGGAACUGAGACACGGUCCAGACUCCUACGGGAGGCAGCAGUAGGGAAUCUUCCGCAAUGGGCGAAAGCCUGACGGAGCAACGCCGCGUGAGUGAUGAAGGUCUUCGGAUCGUAAAACUCUGUUAUUAGGGAAGAACAUAUGUGUAAGUAACUGUGCACAUCUUGACGGUACCUAAUCAGAAAGCCACGGCUAACUACGUG